AGGGGCGGAGGAGACGCUUGGGCUUGGUGACUUCCUAGCGCCGCCUGGGGCGGGCUGUGCCCCCGCGCGUCCCCGCGGCCCGGUGAUUGCGGACGGCCGGGAUUUGUGCGUCCCCGGCUAUCUUCUGACAUUGUUCCAGAGUGAUUAAGUUAAGCCUCCUGGGGCCGGCUGGAGAGAGAGGACAAAUUGCUUUGUGAAAUUGAUUUGCUGCCUUAGCAUUUACAGCUCGCCAGGGGUGACGCCAGUGUCAGGGGCCCUUCCUCCGCGCGUGGUGCCCUCCCCUCCCCGCCCACACGGGUCACGGCCGCGUGUCCACGACAGAACGUCAGCACACAUGUCCUUGUCCACUCGUGGUGGACACACAGCGAGUCCUCGGUGCCCCGGGCAGGGCGGAGGGCCCCCCCCAGAGCCCAGCCUGCAGGGUGACUAACCCCAAAUACCCCUGGAGGGGCUGUCCCCUCCCCCCCAGGAGCUGUGGGCACCGCAGAGGCCAGAGCAGGGGGUCUCAAGAUCUGGGUUCGCAGGCUCCCAAGGGAGAGGGGCAGAGCCAGCCAGCCGGGCCCAGGGUCUCCUGCCCCUGGGGCACCUUCCUCCAUUCCUGGGGAAGCAGGUGGGGGCCAUGACACCCCAGGACUCACACGGCUGGGCAGCUGGGGCCAUUCAGGGGAGCAGGGCGCGUCGGGGCAAGGGGGUCUGUCUGGACAGAAAAGUGUUCCUGUGUGUCACCGCCUGGGACAGAAAAAGGACAGGCAGUUCUUUCCUGCCAGGCCAGAGGUGCGUUUCAGAAAGCAUGGGCCGAAAUGGAGACCGCCCGACCUGGUAGAAAGCCAGACAACAGGUGGGAGAGCACUGCGCAGGUGCUCCCUGAGCCCGAGCGUGGGGCACCUGCUGAACACGACUGGACAGUGCAAAGAUUGGGGAGCCUGGCGGUGAGAGGGUAACGCCAGCGUCAUGCUGGGCUGGAACCCGCUCCUCUCUCAGACCGCGUGACCUCAGACAGGUGACCUCACCCCUCUGGGCUGCAUCCAGAGUUACACUGGAUAAGUCCCGUAAAGCUCUUAGAAGGCUGCUGGCCUGUGGAAGAACUCGCAACAGGGUCCCUGACCGGCUCCUGCCGACCUGGGGCACGACGUCUGGCAAGGGAACAAGAAAGGAAACCCAUUGUCCCAGCCCCUGGUACCUCACGGCUGUUUGCAGCCUACUGGAGCACUGCCUGGAGCACCGCCCGGCGAUGCCUCCCCCCUCCCCGCCACGGAGGGCCAGCCUGCCUUCCUGGGUCCUGCCCUCUGGCUCUCUGGCUUCUGUUUCUUCUUUGAGGGCUCAGCAGACACUGUGCCUCUUGAGGAGCUAGGCUAUCACGAUGCCUCUGUCGAGUGGAGGGAUGGCCGGCCAGGCUGCGUUCAGGAAAAGAAAGGUCCUGGGACGCUGUCGGACAAGGAAGCAAAGGGAGGGGGAAGGUCUGCCAAUAAUUGUGCCUCGGUUUCUAAGUCACAGAAUGGGCGUCAAAGAUAACAGCGAUGUGACCUUCAGAGCCACUUAAGUUGCCCGAGACUUGGGUUUUUCCCCAGAAUGACAAUGAUGUCUGCCUCCGGUUUUACACGGGGACACAAAAAUCAUCGGGCAAAGUGCUUUUGGAACGUGGGCUCAGGCACCAGACUACCUGGCUUCCACCUUCCUCAGGAGGCUGAACGCAUGACCUUGGACGAGUUCAUCAUUCUCUCUAGGCCUCAGUUUCCCCACCUAUAAAAUGGGGACGGUCCUAGAAAUCCCAGGCUGAGCAGAUUAGGUAGGACAGUCUCAGCAUCAGCCAGGGCGGGGAAGGCCUCCUCCACGGUCACUCUGCUCAGUAAGAACUCAGGGAGACUCUGAUUGGACUUCUCUGUGGGAAGAGUAGUUACGGGAAACACAAAGUCCCCCAGAAUGAGCACAGUCCUUUAAAAAAAUUUUUUUUAACAUUUUAUUUAUUUUUGAGAGAGCAUGAGCUGGGGAAGGACAGAGAGAGAGGGGGACAGAAGAUCUGAUGCGGACUCUGC